rnacentral:rRNA from 1 species
UACGUAGGGUGCAAGCGUUAAUCGGAAUCACUGGGCGUAAAGCGUGCGUAGGCGGGAAUUUAAGUGAGAUGUUAAAUCGUGUGGCUCAACCAUAUCGAUGCGUCUCAUACUGGGUUCCUAGAGGAUGGCAGAGGCAAGUGGAAUUGGUAGUGUAGCAGUGAAAUGCGUAGAUAUUACCAGGAACACCAAUGGCGAAGGCAGCUUGCUGGGCCACCCCUGACGCUGAGGUACGAAAGCGUGGGGAGCGAACAGG